UAGGUACGUAGACAAGAAGAUGAGGAGCAUAGUGUAAUUAGUUUGGAAUAUUUAAUAUCAUUUGAAACACUUGAAGAAAAAAAAAUCACCUCAUAUAUAAAGCAGAAAUUUUCCGUGCAAAUUUUAUUAUGAAAUAAGUUUUAGGGCUAGAAACAAAUAUCAAAGCAGAAAUAUACAAAAAUAUGCAACCCAAGAAAGAGAACAAGAGAAUGGUUCAAGAAGAUCUGUCUUCUUACAUCAUGACGUUAAAAUCAAAGCUUGCCAUUUUAUAAUCUGAGAAGAUGUGAAAUUUUUUAUGUGUAAUGGAAAAUAAUCCAACAUAACUUGAUGUGGU
rnacentral:lncRNA from 1 species